GUUAGGGACUUUGGGUUGCCUGGCAUCAAUGGACCAGGAGACAGAGAUUAAUCAUGAAAGCAAUCAAUCAACCUAUGAACCAGUCAUGCCUACACAAUGGAGCUGCAAUAAAAGCCCAGAACACUGAGGCUCAGGUUGUUUUCCCCCUUCCUGUGGAUUUGGAUUGGAAGCCAAAGGAAAAGAAGCUUCAACAAGAGGCCUGGCUGAAAUAGCCUGAGUGACAGACUGCCCCUUUUAGAACAUUUCUAAUAAAUCAAGAAGAAAAA